AUAGGGCUAUUAUGAAGAUAGAAUAAGUUAAUACAUGUAAUACUCUCAUUAUACUACCUGAUAAAACAGCACCAAUCAAGAUGUGUUGUCUAUUAUCUACCCCCAAUUUCUAUGAGUGAUUGUUUUAAAAAGUCUUCUUGGGAUCGGGAGAAUGUGACUCCCAUCCCUCCCCACUCUUGCCAAGAGGACAUGACAAAACCUCAACACUCUUCUUUUAGGCAGAGGACCACUCUGACAGUCCUGCUCAUUUCUGAAGACCAUCCUCUGUCUCCUGGAUUGCGGCCAUAGCACCUAACCUAACCCCUCACCACCCUACCAUCCAUGCUCCCUCCUGCGCCCAGGAGGACUACCUUAAAGCAGAGAUGAGCACACUUUUUUCUGUAAUGGGCCAGACAGUAAGUAUUUUAGCUUUUUCAGGACAAGAGGUGAAAUCAAGGACAUUAUGUAGGCACUUUUAUAGCAAGAGAGAAGACAAAUUUUCCCAAAAUUUUUACUUACAAAAUUCAAAACAUAAUAAUUGAACAUAAUUUUCUUAUAAUACAGGUAUACUAAUGAAAAUAAAGUAAUUAUUUGGGAAGGGAUAACAUUUUCUUGACUGGGAUUCAAGUUAGUGUUCUCUAUCAUCAAAACUGAAUGCAAAUGUUUAUUUGUUAAAGUUGAUCUGAAACGGAAUUUUACAUGUUUCGUCUUUGAAAUGUCUUUUCACAGAAAUUGAUACUGAAAUGAACACCCAGUGAAUUACACAUAUUGAAGCUUAAAGGUUAUUUAAAGGUUCCAUAGAUUUUUCUUCUUUUAAUAUUCAGCCAUGUCUAUUGAAUGGACAGACCAAAGAAACUUCACAGUAGAAAGGACUGUUUCAGCUCUUGUCAGUGCCUCAGGGUAGAAUCUGUGACAGGACCCACAGCAAGACUGAUGGCCAUGGCCCCUGCCCCCUCAAGAUAAAAUGUAAUGCCCAAGAAGUGUUUAGGUGUUUCCAAGAGUUGUUACUAUAUGUUUUACAAUAAUCAAGCCAUUGAAGAUUUGGAGUAACAUGUCAGAUACGAGGCAAGAACAUUAAAGUAAGCAUUAUGCACAUCUGUUACUAUAAAAGAAAUCAACUCUGCUAUUUUCAAAGUAUUUUCAUUAAAGUGUCAUAGAUAGAUAAUACGACCAAAAGAGACUGCAGAAACUAUCAAAACAUCAAAAGCAGAAUCAAUUGAUUUUAGAAAUCUCCUUUUGAAGCUGGAAAGUUAAGUUAAAAAUAAUAAGAAAAUUUCUUAAUCAAAAUACUUCAGGAAUAUUUUUGUAACAUAAAAAAUGUGUUAAAAUAUAUUAAUAAUGCAUAUUAUUAGUCAGGUUAAAUUUUAUAAUCUCAUAACUACUGUAUAUUAUGCCCAGUUGUUUAGUAAAGCAAAGACGAACAGGAAGCAAUCUUCAAUUUCAUAUUUCACAUAUCUAAAUGUGAGAAAUUUUAAUUCAGUCAUUAGUCAAAGAAACUUAAAAAGCCUAUGUAGAAAGUCUAAGUACAUACACAGAGAAAUGCGCUAAAAGCAUAAAACAGUAAGAGCUGACCUAAUUCUCUCCAAGAGAGGAGAUUGUUUCUCCAUAUCUCAAUAUCAUGCCAGAGUUUAAAGAAAGAAAGGCCACUCUCAAUAAAUAGACAAUGCUUGCAAAAAAAUUUAAUGGGCUUCAAUAAAAAUUUUAUAGGAGUACUCAUAAUUCUUUUUUUUAUACACAGGCUGCAAGUAAAAUAUGUUUCUCUUCUACCUUAUGAAACAUUAGGAUCUGGCCUUGAAAGAUAAUUGUAUAAGAACUCAAGUUUUCAUGCUUACGAGCAAAAUAUGUGGUAUUUUGCUAAUAAUUAUGAUGAAAUCACUGAAGCCAAAGAGAAAAGCAUAAAAUAUCUGGGAGGUUCUUAGGAAUUGACAACACCAUUCACUUCAGAGUGAUUAUUUUACUCACGGAAAUACAGAGGAAGAGUCAUUUUCAUGAGGACUUUACUGCAAUAAUAAUAUAGCAGUGGCAGUGUGAUGCUCACAAUCUAAAGACAUUAAAGGAGUAUAAAAUGUAAAAUUUGCAGCAAAGUAGUAAAAAUAGCUACACUUUUGCAGGGUUUUCUACUCUAAGGACUUUUCCAAAGGUAAAAUAGUGUUAUCUUAGCUCCUUAUUUAAUUGUUAUAACAAGAUCACGAUGGAGGAGGAAUAAACUGAUGAGAAUGAUGACUGGAAGAGACAAUUAUCAGUGCUUAUCAGAAUAGUUACAAGUGAUAGCAAGCAUACUGUGCCAUGGAUCGACCUGUGUUUGAUGGAGAGCAGUCCGUUUCUUCCUACAAUAACCCAGUGAAGCAGUGAAGUUAGGUACUAAUCCUAGACCCCUCCCCGUAACAGGGAGGAGGAAACAGGAGGGAAGCGACUGGCUCCAGGUUAUUCAGCUGCUAAGCACUAAGGCAUGCAUUUGAUGGCAGACCUGCUGCCACCCUGCCCUCCUCUAUACUAGCUGUUAAAGCAGCAACUGUAUAUACCAAACAAGACGAAAGCCCCUGGAGAGUAACCCAGCUUAAAAAUUCACCAGUUACCUAUUACAUGUUGGAAGAUAAUAAUAAUGAUGUUAAUUGUACCCAACACUUGGAUUGUGUUUAUGACGUGUCAGGCAGUAUCCUAAUCAUGAUUAUAACAUCUAGUUACAGUUAUUUUACGUAUGAGGAAAUUUCAGCAUGGAAGGUUAAGUAGCUGGCCCAAGAUCAUUCACUGAGUAAAUUACAGAGCCAUGGUUUGAACCCUGGGAUCCAAUCAAUUCCUGGUAAUGAUAGUAGAAAAAGCCUUUCACCUAGAUUCCUGUAUCGACUAAACCCAAAUAUCCUUCCACUGACUCCCUAUGUCUUUUCUAUACAUCAGACAAAGUGAUCUUUGUGAAAUGUAAAUCUGAUGAUAUGAUCCCACUGAUUACACCCUCCCAAUGGCUCCUCAUAGCUCUUCACAUAAAUAAGACACUAGAAAGCCCUACACCAUCUGGCUUCUACCUACCUUCCUGGUCUCAUUUUCCACUGAGCUCCCCAUCAUCCUCUGCUUCAGCCACACUGCCUUUCUUUAGUCUCUCUACAUACCAUGCUCUUUCCUGCCACAGGCCCUUUGCAUAUGUAAUUCUUUCAUACAGAACUCUAUCUCCACCUCUUUUCAUUUUUCACUUUUCAGGUCAAACAUCCCUUCCUUGGGAAAAACGUUUCCUAACCCCAAUACACACAAUCAGAUUGCCUUAAUGUGUCUUCUUUUCAGUAGUGUCACAUUGCAAAUUUACAAUUACUACGAAAUUAUUUGAUUCAUGCCCUUCUCCUCUACUAGACUAUAAGUGGUAGAAGGUCAGAACUCUGACCUGUUUUACCACUUGUCUUAGGUUGUAUUCCUUGAGACAAAAAUUUGCAUGAAAUUAAUUUACUAGGGAAAUGAUUCCAAGAAGCAGGGAUAGGGAGUGAGGAAGUAAGACAGGGAAGGGAACAAAGCCGACGUAGUCUACAUUAAUAAACCGUUUACGAGUGUGAGGAAUUGGGGCUCCCUCUUUCAGGGUCCUCUGGGAGACUACGUGAAACACUUCUCGGAGUUGUCCUACCUGAGGGGUGAAGAAACUAUGGAGUUUCUCUGCCAACGCCCAUCCAUAACUGGUUGAAGACCGCUCCUGGGAUGUUAACUUUCAAUCAUUUUCAGUCUGUUCCACACACAAGUCAAGCACUUUCUUACAGCCAGCGGAAUUACUCAGGCAAAGAGCUGACAGACAUUUUCAGUAAGAAGCCAUCCAUGUGUCUAAGUAGAGCUAGUGCCAGGGAGAUGAGUGUCAACUCAAAGCGUCGCUACUGUCCACCUCUUGUAACACUCAGGAUCCAAAUUAAGUGGAGUCAAUCCUCAGUCUUAUCACAGAUAUUUGAAAUGCAUAACUUGUCACAAUUUC
rnacentral:lncRNA from 1 species